rnacentral:rRNA from 1 species
GACGAACGCUGGCGGCGUGCUUAACACAUGCAAGUCGAACGGAAAGGCCAUGCUGUUGUGGGGUGCUCGAGUGGCGACCGGGUGAGUACCACGUGACUAACCUGCCCUUGACUUUGGGCUAACUUCAGGAAACUGGGGCUAAUACCGGAUAGGCGCUCCUGCAGAAUGGUGGGGGUUGGAUAGAUUCGACGGUUGGGGCUCGACUCGCGGGUUAUCAGCUUGAUGGUGGGGUAGUGGCCGACCAAGGCUGUGACGAGUAGCCGGACUGAGAGGGUGGCCGGACUCAUAGUGAGUGUAAUACGGCCCAGACUCCUACGGGAGGCAACAGUAAGAAAUAAUGUACAACAGGCCUGCGCCUGAUGCAGCAACACCGCGUGCGGGAUGACGGACUUCGGGUUGUAAACCUCUUUCGCCAAAAACGAAGCGUGAGUGACGGUAAUGGGAAAAGAAGCAACGGCUAAAUACGUG